AGAUGAGCUGGAAAUGUUGAGUUGUAUUUAGCACAAUAGAAAUGUGUGAUCAAAACAGUUAUUACUGUAUGACCAAUCAGACCAACCAGUUCAUAUGAGUGUUUAGGAAAUUAGCUCAGUUACAAGGCAGGAAGUUGUCUUUUGUUAUUAGGAUGUGGUACAUGAUGCACAUUAACAGUCAGACCUGACCAGUUGUUUGAUCGUGUCUUCAUCGGCUGCACAAAUCGAAUAAUCUUGCGAGGAUUACAGUGAAACAGAAUUAUCAAAGUGCAGGCAAGGUCUUCCUCUGCAUUCAUCUGCAAUGAGAACACAGGCUUUAUGGUUUUAUGCCAUCUACUCAUAUGUGCUAAAUGUGCAUGCGGCUUCAUGGACUGCAGAAAUACCACAAACAAUAUCAGCACUGCUGGGGUCAUGUGUCGUGGUUCCCUGCAAGUUCAAUUACCCAGAUCCCCCAAAAAAGCCUCCAGAAAUGACAGGAAUAUGGCAUAUGACCGACUACCAACCCAUUUACCACCCGGACUCCUCCAAAGUGAUGGAAAAAUUCAGGGGCCGGACAAAUUUGAUUGGGGAUCUUGCAAGGAAGAACUGUUCACUGAGAAUUAAUCACCUGAAAAAAAAGGACAAUGGCCCAUUUAUUUUUAGGAUAGAGAUUCGUGACUUUAAGAUGUACUCUUACACAGAUAAUAUGGUCUCCAUUGAUGUCCAAGACUAUCCAGCCUCCCCAUUGCUGACCGUGAGCGGGGAGGUCAAAGCAGGUGACGCUGUGACUGCUUCCUGCUCUGUGUCUCACUCCUGUCCCACGGAGCUGCCUCACCUGAUCUGGAGCCGCAGUGGAACAACCACCAUCCAAUCAGAGGAGCUGCCCAACGGCCAAUGGAGAGUGACUUCAAGCCUGACUUUCACUGCCACACACCCUGACCACAACCAGCACCUGAUUUGCACAGCAAAGUAUCAGCAGGUCACAUCUGUGCAAUCUUCUAAAAUUUUGAAUGUGGCAUAUGCCCCAGUCCGUGUGGAGGUUGAGCCUGAGUCCACAGUGGUGAAGGAGGGAGAUGCUGUGGAGAUGCAGUGCUCCAGUGACAGUAACCCUCCUGCACACGGCUACCAGUGGUACAACACCACUGGCACUCUGCUGUCAGAGGAACAAAUCUACAAACUGCACAACGUGUCCAGACACACUAAAGCUCUCUACUGUGAAGCCAUCAACACAGAGGGGCACAAGAACUCCACUCCGGCCAAGAUCAGCGUGGAGUACCCCCCAAGCAUUGGAGCACAAUCAGGCUGUGUUGCAGAAAUCACAGGGGUGAACUGCCGGUGCCUGGUGGAGUCCAGGCCCGCUAGCAGAGUCCAGUGGAAACUUGCAGAUGGCAAAACUGAAAACAGCAGCAGCUUCCACAGCACAGAUGGACAGGACUCCGCCACUGUUCACACACUGCAUUUCCACCUGGGCCUUACUGAUGUGGUGUCCUGCUACGCCAGCAACAAACAUGGGAACGUAACAAGGGUCCUGGAAACCAACCGAGGAGGAGUACUGAUGGCCAUCUACUUAUCAGGCUCGGCUGCUUCUGCCUUUGUGCUCAUAUUGGUUAUUUUAUUGCUGUGGAAAUGUUCAAGACGAAAAAAACGAUUAUCCCCUGAAACUGGGCUGGCUGUUGUUUGGAUGAAUUUGGUACGAAAUGCAAACCGAAGUGCUCAGAGGAUGUCACAUCAUAGGCCCACCUACCUACGCUUAUGUUUUAGCAUACGAAAUCGCUAAUUAAAAUGUGGCAAAUGAAACAUGUAUAACAUUUUUUUUUUGUUGCUUUUAAAGUGUGGAAGUAAAGAUAAACCCUGUCUACUCAACUGCAGGCCUGUAAGUCUCCAAAGUAUGCAACAGAAAAAUGUGCAUAUUCAGUAUAGACAAAUAUUAAUACUAUUAAUUAACAGCGAACAGUAACUAGCUGCAUACUUAAUUAGCUAUAUAAUUAAAUGUGGUCCAAAAGGAGCAUUUAAUUAUAUAACUAGGUUUCAUGCUACACUCACUACCAAUUUCUACCUAGUCAUAGCUUGAACUAAUUGUUUGGAACACUGGUUCAAAAGUUUUUUGAACAAUUAACACAAGCCAAAAAACAACUGCCUUUUGUUGGUUAGCAAAAUCCAUUUUUAAAAUAUAAUCAUUUUUUCAAAACUGCAAAUUUAUUCUUAAAAAUCGCCUCAAGAAUGUACAUACAGACUUGCAGGCAAGCACGCAAAUUUGACAAGGAUGAUUUCAGUUUAAAAAGUAGGUAAUAGCUCCAGACAAUCAUACAGACAUGUCUGGCACAGGUUUUUAAGUCAUGUCAACAAAUUGUUGUCAGACUCUUGACCAGCAUAGCCACUACAGCUCUUUCUUAAUGUGACAAAGAGUCAUAUUUUCCACAUCAAAUACGAGCUGAACCAGUAGCAACUGGUGCCGUGGGAGUGGGGUACGACACACACUAUCUAAGCAGUGGGGAUUUCAGUCGGCGAUCAAUAGUCCUCACUUUUGCUGAUUAGCCGUCUGUUAUCUGCAGUUUUCUGUCCGGCUCACGGUGAAUUUUGCAUGACACACAUACUAAUGUGCAUGGAGGUUGUCGUGGCGAUGGGCUAGGGUGUGUAAUACGCGUGUCAUUUCUUGUUUUAUUUUCACAGCGAUGACCAGCAUGUGGGAACACAGGAAAACAUAGCGCCAGCCAAAUCCCACAGGGGAAAGGGGCCUGUUGAAGAUCCGUCUGCUACCGGGGGUGAUAACAUUUAUGUUAACAGUGAGACACCAUAUUUUGAAGAAGAAGAAGAAGAAGAAGAGGUGGAUUAUGAAAAUAGUUUUAAAGAGGACGUUUAUGCAAACAUGUAAUGGCACAAA